rnacentral:rRNA from 1 species
GACGAACCGUGCGACCGUUAAUCGGAAUUACUGGGCGUAAAGCGCACGCAGGUGGCUGAGUCAGUCGAUUGUGAAAGCCCUGGGCUUAACCUGGGAAUUGCAGUCGAUACUACUCAGCUAGAGUAUGGGAGAGGGCAGUGGAAUUCCCGGUGUAGCGGUGAAAUGCGUAGAUAUUGACAGGAACACCAGUGGCGCAAGCGGCUAUCUGGACCGACAUCGACGCUGAGGCACGAAAGCGUGGGGAUCAAACAGG